UACGGGGGGGGCAAGCGUUGUUCGGAAUUACUGGGCGUAAAGGGUGUGUAGGCGGUUCUUUAAGUUUGCUGUGAAAUCUCCCGGCUUAACCGGGAGGGUGCGGUGAAUACUGAGGGACUAGAGUACGGGAGAGGAAAGUGGAAUUCCCGGUGUAGCGGUGAAAUGACGCAGAUAUCGGGAAGAACACCCGUGGCGAAGGCGGCUCUCUGGAACGCAACUGACGCUGAGACGCGAAAGCGUGGGGAGCAAACAGG
rnacentral:rRNA from 1 species